CGCAGGUUGGAGCAGUUGGUAGCUCGUUGGCCUCAUGAGCCAAAGGUCGCAGAUUCGAGUUCUGCACCUGCAA
rnacentral:tRNA from 1 species